rfam:Cavia porcellus supercont2_11 genomic scaffold, whole genome shotgun sequence.
AUCGCUUCUCAGCCUUUUGGCUAAGAUCAAGCAUAGUAUCUGUUCUUAUCAGUUUAAUAGAAUCACAUGAGUAAUUCUUAGCACUAUUCUUCAUACCAAUU